rnacentral:rRNA from 1 species
GACAGAGGUGCCGAGCGUUAGGCGGAAUCACUGGGCUUAAAGCGUGUGUAGGCGGAUCUGUAAGUACCUUGUGAAAUCCCACGGCUCAACUGUGGAACUGCUUGGUAUACUGCGGGUCUUGAGCCACCUAGGGGCAAGUGGAACAAACGGUGGAGCGGUGAAAUGCGUAGAUAUCGUUUGGAACGCCAAUGGUGAAAACAACUUGCUGGGGGUGUGCUGACGCUGAGACACGAAAGCCAGGGGAGCGAACGGG